UUAAUGUUGGUAGUAUCACAAAGGCUAUGGCACGUAUCUGGUUACAGGGAAUUUCCAUUCUCGGAGAGAGUAUAAAUAGCCUUCGAGAUUACGCAGACGGUCCAGACUCCUCAGCUGCAUUUGUUUAUCUUCCAAGCCUCGAGACAAUUCCAACACGAGAUGUCUACCAACGAAUGUCGGAGGCGGGCAUAUCCGGACGGUUCUGAGGAUGAAAAAACAUACAGUGAAAAAGAAUUCAAGGAGAUGGAGGAAAAAAAUCAAGAAUUGCAAAGUGAAAUUGAAAAAAUAAAAAAUAUUAAAGUGGGCAAAUUGGUCAAAGAACUUGAAGCUGAAGUCAAAGUCAUUGCAAGAAACAUCGUAGAAUCGGUGAAAGAUAAGGGAAUAAACAGCUUCAAAGCCGUUGGCAAUUUGAUUUCCCAAGCUAUUAAAGCUAUUUAUCAUGGAAAAGGGCUGUCGGUUCUCAUGACCCUUGCUGAGUUCACGGCCCGCAUAUUCUUCUAUUUUGUGUACAAUGUCAUCUUUUACAUUAUAGCUCUCGGGAUUUCCGCAUUGUUUUUGGUGGUCGCUACCCCCGUGGUGCUGUUGGGCAGUGCAUUGAAAAGCAUCGUGAGUGCCAUUUGGGAUCGAAUCAAAUCAAUGGGAAACGUCAAAUACUCGUUUGUGGAGACGUUUGUGAGCAAUGUGUGUGAAGGUCAGACCUUCGGCGAUGUUUCUCAAUCACUGAAAAUGAUAAAUUCAGCUGCUUAAGCAUGAGUUGUUGAACACGGAGUACCUGCAACAGCUACUACUGAACCUUAAUAUACAACGCUACAACGGUGAUUAAAUAUCCAUACAUUUUUUUAUUAACUACUAGACUUCAGAUGGCUUUGUUAAGAAAACUGCAGUACAAACUGCAGCAUAAAUAUCUUAUUCAGGCGCUAUUACAUGACUGACCAAGCAUGAGAGCACAGUACGGUAUUCCAAUAUCUGAUGCGCAAUGUUGCUGUAAUUUGAACGCUGGACUAAUUUGUGAGAUGUGCUUUUGACCAAGAAAUAUGUACUUUUAAAUAACCGUUCUGAAGAAUGCAUUUAUCCCUAAACACAAUGCCUGAAACAUCGCAGCAUGGUUACUAUCUAGCAGAGGUGGGACAAAGUCAUUGUUAUGCAAGUCCAAGUCGAGUCUGAAGUCAUCAAAUUCAUGACUCGAGUCUGACUCGAGUCCAAGUCACAUGACUCGAGUCCACACCUCAGAGGUGGGACAAAGUCAUUGUUAUGCAAGUCCAAGUCGAGUCUGAAGUCAUCAAAUUCAUGACUCGAGUCUGACUCGAGUCCAAGUCACAUGACUCGAGUCCACACCUCUGCUAUCUAGUUUCAUACACAUUUUCCAUUUCGUAACUGACAGACCCUUUUCGUCAUUGGCGAUCUUUAAGCUUCUGCCAUGGAAUCCCUACUUAUUGCUCACAUCCUAUUAACUGCUCAGUUUUGUUUCCCCUUUACUCUCGUACUUUGCAUUUUCCCUUUUUCAGACUCAACUGUAUCAUAUAACCUGCUGGCCCUGUUAGGAUAUGAUCGGCAAAAUGCCACCUUAUCAUCAGACUUCUCCAUCAGUCCCAUUCGUAGCCACUCUCGCUCAGCACAUCUUUAAUUCUUUUCUCACAAGCUCACCAUCUCCAUUCUUCUGUGACAUCACAUCUCCAACACGUUCGGUCUUUUUGCCUCAUCCUUCUGCCGUGUCCAUAUUUCACUGGAAUAUACGAAUUGCACUCCACACUGAAGCUUCCGAUAUCGUCAUCCUCUUCUGUGAAGUUUAUAACUUGUUACAGGCCCUCUUACCUGUUUACGAAAACGGUCUUGGGCAAUGCACCUCUUCUAUCCUCUUGUCCACUCCUUGCCAUCUUCAGCGACUGUGCUUCAAAGAUAAUACAAUUAUCACAAUUGCUCCAACAGUUCCCAUGAUUGUAAAUGCCUUUACUUUACAUAUUGCCAUGGUGUUUGUCUUUUUCACGUCGAUAUGCACGCCAUGUUUCCAUUAUGUGAUUGGGAUAAUAACAUAAUUAUGAUAGGUUCGUGAAAUAGUAAUUAAGUUUACUGUGCUAUAAUAGCUUUAAAAUACUCACAUACAUCUGUGAUUGAAAUACUGUACUGUACUAUGUAAAUGUUGCAGUCACAAAGAUAAACUAAAGUAAAUUUAAUGGCCGAUUAACAAUUGGUAUUCCAGUUUAAUACUUUUGGUAAUAUAAUUUAUAACAAUAACAUUACAGACGCAAUCGGAAAUCACUGACAUUUUAAAACAUUAAUUUAACCUUGAAAUUCAAUUAUCUGGAAAUUUAUAGUUUUAAUGCAUAGUUCUACAACAGUGGAGAUAACCCAUAUUGCUGAUAACACGAACUUUUAAAUGUUUUUGAUACAGUCUAAGUAACAUUAUCGAAGGUUAUUGAUCACGUCUACCACAACUACCACCAUUCCACAAUAUCGAAAACAACAUGAUUGAUCCUCCUGCCUCCGCUUAACACUUCCCACCUAACCUCUAAUUAAGAGCGCUGCUGUGCUGUGUAACCGAUGCAAGUUUAGUUUUUAGAAAGAAAUGUUUUAUUUGCGCAGCUACACUGUGCCAUUUCUUUAUUGUUUAUCCAUUUUAAUUUUCUGAGGGUUUAUUUCUUGGUAAGUGGUAUAUAGGAUUUGGUACUUAUAUAUUAGUGUAGUGACAUAAGAAGGGAGGGGCUGCUGUAGGCUCUGGGUUCCCAGGUGGGUCCAGACGCGUAAUCCCCUGGGCGCCAGGCGCUGGGUUCCCAGGGGGUCCAGACGCUUAAGCCUCUGGGCGCCGCCAACGGGGGGGGGGGGGGGCUGUGUGUGCUCUGUGGGAUGUCUGGUGGCGCACACGGCCCCACCCCUCGUUGGACCAGGCAUAAAAGGAGAGCUCCCUGGACGAUCAGGGCCCAGUUGUAACUCAAGACCCAACCCCUACGACCAGCAUCUGAAGACCCUGGGAUGCUGUGAGAGCCAGCGCUGGGACUCUGGGACUCCCGACUCUACGACCUUGUGAGGGCGAGUUCCGGAGCGUAGCCAGAGUAGAGUAUCUAGGCCAGGGGUCGGCAACCAAAAUAACAAGAAGAGCCAUUUCUUUCAAAUUCGGUACAAAAUUCAGUAUUUCAAGAGCCGCAAUGCAUCUGAGUACAUACGUACUCAUCGUCAAGAAGCAGCCCGUAAAGAGCCGCAUGCGGCUCCGGAGCCGUAGGUUGCCGACCCCUGAUCUAGGCUGUGUAGCUAGGCUGUGUACCUAGGCUGUAACAGAGUAUCAGGACUGUUGGAGAGUUGGACUGUUGGAGUGUUGUAUUGUAAUAAAGAAGUUACCUCUACAAGUGUCUCCGGA